rnacentral:rRNA from 1 species
UAGGGAAUCUUCCACAAUGGGCGCAAGCCUGAUGGAGCAACGCCGCGUGUGUGAUGAAGGGUUUCGGCUCGUAAAACACUGUUGUAAGAGAAGAAUGACAUUGAGAGUAACUGUUCAAUGUGUGACGGUAUCUUACCAGAAAGGAACGGCUAAAUACGUGCGAG